CCUGCCGUGGGCUGGCGUCGCACAUCAGGAAGCUGCCGUAGGCGCCGUGGAAGAUCUCCUCCACGAACUCCAGCAGGCCGAUGGUGAUGCGGGCGCGGCGGGGCCAGGCCGGGGCCAGCCAACGGUUGAGGCCGGAGCUCACCGCCUCGGGGACAAGGGGCCGCAGGUAGCUGGGGACGUCCAGCCGGUAGAGGGCGCUGUGGGCCACGCGCUCCGUCACGUAGAGGUCCCCGCAGAAGCCCAGCAGCUUGGGGGUGUGCUCCUUCUCUUGCAGCGCUAGCAUCAGGAGAAACUCGUUGAUCUGCAGUAGGGCCCACACCGACUUGGCCUCGGCCAGUGACACCUUGCCGUCCCGGGUGACGUCGGCCAGUGUGAUGACCCGCUCCACCAGAGCGUUGAGGGACGGCUGGUCACCCAGGGUAAUAUCUGCAGAGACAGAGGAAGAGAGGCACCUUGAAGAAGCUAUGGAGCAUCUCCCUGAACUCGUCCAUGGACGUCCCGCGGGUGGGCUUGUCAAACAGGCUGGUCUCCGGUCUGAGUCCUGGGUCCGGAGCCCCCUCCGCCUUCAGGCUCUCCUGCAGCCCACACUUGAUCACCACGGGCCGGUCCUUCCACUGGCCAUCGUACACCUACAUGUAGCAUGAAGGUGGGUGGGGCGAGGCGAACCACCUCCGCCACCGAUACGUCAUUCAGUGUCCUUGCAACAUGUGUACCCACUAAGAUUCAUGUAGUAAGCCCCACCUUGCAUCCGUCCGGUUCUCAUGAGGUUAAUGUAAAUAAACACACUUUUGAUUAUA